AACGAACGCUGGCGGUAUGCUUAAUACAUGCAAGUCGAACGCGAAAGCUCUUUCGGGAGCAAGUAGAGUGGCGCACGGGUGAGUAACACGUAGGUGACCUGGCCUUUGGAGAGGGAUAACUUUUAGAAAUGAAAGCUAAUACCUCGUAAGAUUAAUUUAUUUGAAUAGAAUUAAUGAAAGGAUGCCUCUUCUUGAAAGCAUCUGCCGAAGGAUGGGCCUGCGGGAUAUUAGCUUGUUGGUGGGGUAAUGGCCUACCAAGGCGACGAUAUCUAGCCGAUUUGAGAGAAUGAUCGGCCACACUGGGACUGAGACACGGCCCAG
rnacentral:rRNA from 1 species